UACGUAGGGUGCGAGCGUUGUCCGGAAUUAUUGGGCGUAAAGAGCUCGUAGGCGGUGUGUCACGUCGGCCGUGAAAACUUGCAGCUUAACUGUGGGCGUGCGGUCAAUACGGGCAUCACUGGAGUUCGGCAGGGGAGACUGGAAUUCCUGGUGUAGCGGUGAAAUGCGCAGAUAUCAGGAGGAACACCGGUGGCGAAGGCGGGUCUCUGGGCCGAUACUGACGCUGAGGAGCGAAAGCGUGGGGAGCGAACAGG
rnacentral:rRNA from 1 species